rnacentral:rRNA from 1 species
GACGAACGCUGGCGGCGUGCCUAACACAUGCAAGUCGAGCGGGAACCUCAGGAGGGGUAACCCCUCUGAGGGGAGAGCGGCGAACGGGUGAGUAACACGUGGGCAACCUGCCCCGGACACCGGGAUAACCCAGGGAAACCUGAGCUAAUACCGGAUACUCCGGCGCGAUCGCAUGGUCGUGCCGGGAAAGCUCCGACGGUCCGGGAUGGGCCCGCGGCCUAUCAGCUUGUUGGUGGGGUAACGGCCCACCAAGGCGACGACGGGUAGCUGGUCUGAGAGGACGGCCAGCCACACUGGGACUGAGACACGGCCCAGACUCCUACGGGAGGCAGCAGUGGGGGAUCUUGCGCUAAUGCGCGAAAGCGUGACGCAGCGACGCCGCGUGGGGA